GUCCUGUGAUGACCUGUGGCGGAAGGUAAACCGAAGGUGACUGCGGUUAACGUCCUCGAUGGGAAUGGCCACCUUCAAGAAUUGAAAAAGAAGUUUAAGCACUGUUAUCAAUAUCAUCCAGCGUAACAGCUUUAUUCAACUGGAGCUAUCAGAUAUGAAAUUCCAGAUCAUGGGAGGGAGAGUUUGAAGAAGGAAGAACCACCAAUAGAAAGCGGUCCCCAAAGAGGUAUCGGGGAUGGCACCCAGACAGGAGCACAUGUACCACUGCCCAGAAUGUGCAUUUCACUAGACAAGUGACCACAAAAGAACAAGAAAGUCCAAGAAUAACCCCAGAUGGCCCGGGUCACUUUCCCUGUGUCUGCUACUGCUCCACCGCCACACUGGACUUGAGAGGAAGAUGCCUUGUUUAUUUUCUUCGCACAAGACCUUUCCCCAGAAGGGUCUCUCUGUAGCCCAGCUCUGCGUUCAGGCGGAGCACAGAGGACUUUUAGGAUGGUGAAGCUACCCAGUGAGAGACUACAAUGGUGAAUAUACGGUAUUAUUCAUUUGUCGAAACCCACAGAAGGCACAACAUCAAGAAUGAACGCUAAUGUAAACUACAGACUUCACAGGGCGACGAUGUGUCAAUGCGGUUCACCAACUGUAAUCAAUGUACCAAUCUAUGGUGGAUACUGAUAAUGGGGAGGCAGGGGGAAGGAAGGAGAAAUAUAUAGGAACUGUCUGUA
rnacentral:lncRNA from 1 species